UCGUGACGAACUCACUCGGAUGCCCGGAAGGGCAUAACAGGGAAGUCCGGUGCAAAACCGGCGCGGUCCCGCCACUGUAAGUGGGAAGCUCCCCCUCGUUCACCCACUCGAUGAGGAAUCGGGGAAGGGUUGGGGAAGCGUUGAAGAGCGAUCCUUCUGAACCCACGAGCCAGGAGACCUAUCCGAGAUGACCACAGCAC
rnacentral:ncRNA from 2 species